UGGGGAAUUUUGGACAAUGGGCGCAAGCCUGAUCCAGCAAUGCCGCGUGCAGGAUGAAGGCCUUCGGGUUGUAAACUGCUUUUGUACGGAGCGAAAAGGUCUGCCCUAAUACGGUGGGCUCAUGACGGUACCGUAAGAAUAAGCACCGGCUAACUACGUGCCAGCAGCCGCGGUAAUACGUAGGGUGCGAGCGUUAAUCGGAAUUACUGGGCGUAAAGCGUGCGCAGGCGGUUAUGCAAGACAGAGGUGAAAUCCCCGGGCUCAACCUGGGACCUGCAUUUGUGACUGUAUAGCUAGAGUACGGUAGAGGGGGAUGGAAUUCCGCGUGUAGCAGUGAAAUGCGUAGAUAUGCGGAGGAACACCGAUGGCGAAGGCAAUCCCCUGGACCUGUACUGACGCUCAUGCACGAAAGCGUGGGGAGCAAACG
rnacentral:rRNA from 1 species